rnacentral:rRNA from 1 species
UACAGAGGGUGCGAGCGUUGUUCGGAAUUAUUGGGCGUAAAGGGCGCGUAGGCGGUGCCACAAGUCACUUGUGAAAUCCCCGGGCUUAACUCGGGGCCUGCAGGCGAAACUGUGGUGCUGGAGUAUGGGAGAGGUGCGUGGAAUUCCGGUGUAGCGGUGAAAUGCGUAGAUAUCGGGAGGAACACUGUGGCGAAAGCGGCGCACUGGACCAUGAACUGACGCUGAGGCGCGAAAGCUAGGGGAGCAAACAGG